UUUCUAUUUCAUUGGUUUCUCCCUUUCAGAUUUAUUGAGUUUAUAUGAAUUUUUCAUGUUGGUUUGUCAUUGCACCAUAGUCGCUGUUAGAUUCUGCGGAUGAGACUUUUACUUCGAGUGUUUAUUUUGAUGUGUAUUUGCACUGAUCCUUGGCCUAGGAUUGCAAGUGUAUGCUAAUGCCAUCACGUCGAAGAGUCUUUGAAUAGUUUUAAGAUGCUCGUUUUGAUGGCUGAUUUAAUCUUUGGAUAUUAGAUUGCUUGUCUUAUUAAGAGUUACAUAGUAUAGUUUGUUUUACUGGCUGCUGGGUUUUAGCUUUAUUUUUGUUUGUUGUUGCUUCUUCAAAUCCCUAAAUGUUUCUCUGUUGAACCUGCUCUACUGAAUUUCGAUAAUCUUUUCAAUAUUUAUUUGGCUUUCCUAAACAGUUCUAUCGUUGAUUGAGGUACAUUGUUUGGACACCAUAGCGUUAGGAAAAUGGUUUAUUCAUUUGUGUUCGUCUAAUGAUCUAGUUUGGUUGGAUCGAUUAGCAACGAAAUGGUGUCUUGGUAGCUAUUGUUCAACAAGAUUUUGGAAUCUGUUACUAGCUUUGGGAGUCUUAACUCAUUUUCCUUAAUUCUCAUUUCUUGAAGCAAACCUACUCUUAAAUUGAGGAUUCAUGGACACUACAAUGACUGUUUAAGUUCUCUGUUCUGUGGAAAUGAGAUUCAUGGCUUCUACAAUGAGUGUUUUUGUCAUCUAUUCUGUUGAAAAUGAGAGUUAUGGUUGUUUGUUGCAUUUUGAAAUUGCAAAGUAUGACCUUGUCUUCAAAAUAUGUAUUUGAACUCUCUGAAAGGACAAGUCUUAAUAAUGAAGACUUAAUACUUAACUCAAAGAAACCGUCUUCCGGUUUUAGAAGAAACUGUGCUUAUACAAGUAAUUAGGGAAUUUGGUGUUAUCGUUGGAUAUUCAAGGUUGGAAGCUAGUAUCAUUUAUUAACUUGGUGAUAUGAUCCUAUUGUUUGUGUAGUUAUUUUUCAUAGUUAUGAAUUUUAUCAUUUAAUUAUGUAUUCAUAUGCUUGCUCGAAUUGCUUAUAGUUGAACAUGAUUUUGUUACGGUAUAGAAAUUGGGUUGCUAUUCAUCAACUGAGCUAUGUAAUGAGAUUAAAGGAACCGGAGGUGCAUUUCAUGUGACCCGGCUCCAUUUUCGAACACGGUUAAAUAAAGCGGGUUGUGAACCACGGGUGCAUUUUAUGUACGUGGCUUGCGAUAUGUUUUAAAUAACCUUGAAUUUUUCUUAAAUAAAUAAAAAUAGUUUGAAAGUUUAUGGACCUCCAAAUAUAGUUCUCUUUUAAAUUAUAAUAUGGGCACGCCAUGCCAAACAAAAAAUGAAUAUCGUAUUGCCCUCGUUUUAAUUAAGCUUGAUUUAAUAAAUAGAAAUCGGGAGCCUUUUAGCGUAUUUUCACGGCCUCCCGCAAAGUUAAUAACACGUUAGCCGCUUUAGGAUCGUUCAUUAAUAAUCUUACCUUCUUAAAUUCGGGCACGCAUUUAUGUGACCCAAAUCCAAAUCUCAACGAUAUUAAAAUAUUUCAAAAACCACUGGUGCAUUUAUGUGACGUGGUUCGCGACGUAUUUUGAUAGCGUUGCAAUUCUCUUCCUAAUAAUCAUAAUAAAAGCGACUAAAAGGUAAAGAUUUGCACAUAGCUUCAUAAUUGUUUAAAAUCAGAUAAAUUAAGCCAUGUAUGAUAGUUGAGUGACCGUGCUAGAACCACAGAACUCGAGAGUGCCCAACACCUUCUCCCAAGUUAUCAGAAUUCCUUACCUGUAUUUCUGGUUCGCGGAUUGUUAAAUAGAGUCAACUUCUCCUCGAUUUAGGAUUUGACCGGUGAGUUGGGACACCAUAAAUCUCCCGAGUGGCGACUUUGAAAUCUGUUAAAUAAAUAAAUCCCGCUUCGAUUGUCCUUUAAUUGGAAAACUCCCUUAACUAUGCCCUUUGCGGCGUUGUAGUGUCCAAAAGGAGGUGUGACAGCUCUGGCGACUCCGCUGGGGAUCAAAUCCAGAAUCUCUGGUUUCACAGGGUUCAAAGAAUUCGAUCUUAGAAUAAUUGUUAUAUUUGGCUUUAUUUAUUAUCUGUUGUUUUCAUUUUUACAUGUUGACUUAAUGUGCAAAAUCAUGCUUUUACCGCUUUGAUAUUAUUUGAACUGUACAUAUAAACUGUUACGAAACCCUUCUCUUUUUAUCUUUGGAGAUGUGAUCACUGGUCCAGACUCCCUAUUCUGUUAGUGUCAUACCUUGAAAUAAGAAAGAGACUCGGACAAAUUACUAAGCCAGAUAAUCUUUCGGGUCCCCGGUACGUAGUCCCCUCCUCGACUCGAGUUGUCCUCUCGGGUACACAAGUCUAGAACAAAUGCCCAAGUUUUGAACUUAGAAUAACUCAGCCUCAUGCCAGAUCCUUAGUAGGAACGCUUAUUUGCAUCAUGUAUUUGACUUAGGGGACUCAACACAGGGGUUGGGUCCGCAGGUGUACCCAAAAUAACAGACCAUCUUGAUGCAUCAUAUGUGCUCCAUGUUGCAUUUAUUCAAGGGUAAAAGGGUCAUUUGGCGGACCAAUGAUAGACGAGGGCAAAUGAAAAAUGAAAAAAAAAGAAAAAAAGAAAAAAGUAAAGAGAGGGUGAACUGUGAAAAUAAAGCAAGUAGGGUCUAGUUAUGUUUUUGUUAUAUUUUUUAUCAAAAAAAGAAGAGACAAAAGAUAUACGAAAAAUUCAAAAAAGAUUUUGCACCUUUUCAUCAUUUUCUGAAAAUAAAAAAGGGAAAUAGAAAAUUCAAAAAGGUUUUGCAUGUUCCAACAUUUUAUAAGAAAAAAAAUAUUUUCUCGAAAUUAGCUGUUUUUUUUAUUCUUGCCCGUAUGUAAUUUGCCCGAACUACGCAAACCUGAUUCUUGUCUUUCGGAGCAUGUUACGUAGGCAACCCACAUAGGAUCCGGUCUUGCUAGUAAAUCUUAGGUUCUUGGAUUUGCAGGGUCUCGGCCAAAUUUUGCACUUCUAGUCACUUUUUGGCUAAAUAAGUCAUUUUGCAAAAAUAUCCCAACCAUGUCUUGCAUGUGUCUAAUAGGGAAUGUUAUUGUCUCACAUAGUGUUGAUUUAAGUUUUUUAUACAGUUGUGGAUUUACUUAUUGGAGUUUGAGCAUGGCAGAUACCCAAGGACCACUGUAUUCAGGAGUUCCUUGAGGAGAUUUAUUUUUAUACUUCCUUUAUGUAUGUUAGGACCAAGAUUCAAGAAAAAAAAAAGAGAAUUUUUAAGGUGUUAAUUUCAACAUACAAAAAGAUUUUCUUUUGAGGUGCUUCUUUGGGAAAUUAGUGAAAAAUAAAAAAAAUCUUUUAUUUUAUUAGAACUUUAGGAUAUUGCACAUAGAAGAAAAAGACAACAUACUCUAUCUUGAGUUUAUUUUCAGAGUUUCUCUUUUAGGCAAUUAAAAUCGAAAUCCAAAAAUAUUUUUUAUUGCUUGUUUCGAAAUCUUGCGUCAGGAUAUCAAAUGGAAAUGAAAAUGAUCGAGCACUGAUAGAAAAGCAAAGAAAAGAGAGGAUUGAAAUGAAAAUUGGGAUGAUGCCAACUGACCUUCGUACACCCGAAGCCAUAUUAGAACCGAUAAAUAUGGCUAGUGCAUUGCAUUAAAUGUGAUAUUUUUAGCUGUUAAAUGUCCUAACGCUAACAUGAUGGCUUCAUUUGGUUCCUCUUUGUUCUCCUCAUCAUAGCAGAAGGGUGGUUGGUUUGCAGUUCUCAAGAUAACUCGUCCAUACAACACCAGGUCAAAGGGCAAGGUAGCCAUGGCUAGUAAUAACCUGGGCACGAGAGUUGUUGACUAUCAAGGGAGGUUGCGUAGUCAGAGUCUGAAUUGAAAUAGGAGGUCCAAAGGAAGAAACAACAUAUGGCAGAAAUGUACCAGUCUUGGAUCAGGGGGCGAUAGAAAAGCAAAGAAAAGAGAGGAUUGAAAUGAAAAUUGGGAUGAUGCCAACUGACCUUCGUACACCCGAAGCCAUAUUAGAACCGAUAAAUAUGGCUAGUGCAUUGCAUUAAAUGUGAUAUUUUUAGCUGUUAAAUGUCCUAACGCUAACAUGAUGGCUUCAUUUGGUUCCUCUUUGUUCUCCUCAUUAUAGCAGAAGGGUGGUUGGUUUGCGGUUCUCAAGAUAACUCGUCCAUACAACGCCAAGUCAAAGGGAAAGGUAGCCAUGGCUAGCAAAAACCUGGGCACGAGAGUUGUUGACCCGUCAAGGGAGGUUGCGGAGUCAGAGUCUGAAUUGAUAGAGGAGGUCCAAAGGAUGAAACAACAGAUGGUAGAAAAGUAUUAGUCUUGGAUCAUGGGGCAUCCUCUACCUUCAUAGCCCACUAACUACACUGAAAACCCUGCAACUAUCUCAUAACUAUCAGAAAUCCAGAUUCCCACUGUUGUUUAUAUCUCCCCAUAACCCUUUUACACUCUACCUGCCAAAACCACCUCAUAUGCCGCUCCUUUGGCCACUCAUGCUCUUGUAGCCCCUCCACCAGUCACUUUUCUUCAAUCCUUUAACGAGACAGUGCUCAAAGUCCCCGAUGCCCAACACUAUGCUCCAGAACUUUUAAAUUCUCGGAUCCAUACUCUCACGCCCCUCAUUUUGAAUGUCCUGGUGAAACUCAAAAGCCUGGUAAGAUAGUGGAGCAAGAUGAGAUAUCCUGGAAGGAUAAAAUCUUAAAGCAGUCUUUAAGAAAAAUGCAAGGGAUAGGGAGCCAGAUGAGUGUGUCUUAAAAAUACUUGUGUUUGUUCCCUGAUGUCCAACUGCCUGCUGGGUUUAAGAUGACAAUGUUUGAUUUGUAUGACGGGCACGGGGAUCGCGUAACCUAUUUGAGAGGUUGCUGCAGUAAGAUAAGAGGCGCCAUGAAAAGAAAAAUUAUUGAUUGCGUAUUUCAGUCAGAGUCUGAGUGGGGUAGCUCUGGAGUGGUACACCUGCCAAGAUGCUAAUAGGUGGUACACGUGGGGCGAUAUGGCUCAAGCCUUGCCAGGAACUUUCAGUAUAAUAUAGAAAUCAUUCCGAAUCGCAGGUCCCUCGCUAAGAUGGAAAAGAAGCCUAAUGAAAGCUUUAGGGAGUAUGGGCUCAUAUAGAGAGAGCAAGCUACCAGAGUCGAUCCCCCGAUGAAUGAAAAAGAGAUGGUCGACUACUUUCUUGAAGCUCAAGAACCAACUUACUUUGGACAUUUGAUUACAGUUGUCGGUAGGCCGUUUAAUGAUGUGAUAAAAAUAGGAGAGAUGGUAUAAGAUGGGAUGAAGUCAAGAAAGAUCAUGAACUAUUCUACUUUUAAUGCAACAACACAAGUAAGUCAGAACGACACAGGCAGCUUGUUGUGUCAGAAGGAACACGAUGAUGUUGCCAUGGUUGUUUCAGAUUCACCACAUGGACCAAAGGGUCCGCUUCACAAUUACACCCGGCCUCAACUCCAACCCCAAAGGUAUCCUCGAGCUCCACAUAAUCCACCUCAGUAUUAUCCUCCGAAUAAUGUCUGGUUAUCUGUCCAACCACCAAGUCACUCCCUAUGGUGAGCACCAACACCGUAUAAUGCAUACUUACCUUCACAUCAUUUUUGAGACCCCAACAACCCUAGAAAAUAGGGGUAGGGAAGAGAAUAAAGGCAAAGAAAUAGUUUCACGAUAAUUGGGGAGUCCUACACAAGCUUAUUUGAAAAGCUAAGGCGUGCUAGCCUGAUAGAGCCGCUCCUCGGCUAUACUCCAGACCCAUAUGCAAAAGGCUUUGAUUCUACUGUCCGAUGCAUGUACCACUCUAGUGUCCAAGUCCAUAGAAUUGAAGAUUGUCGUUCUUUGAAAAGGGAAAUAGCAAGAAUGAUUCAAGAAGGGGUAAUUGUGAUCGAUGACAGUGACAAGGAGCACACAAAUCUUCUUGGGAACUUGUUGAAUGAAGUUGAUGAUAUUGAAGCUGAUCAUGGCAAUAUUGUCUUGGAACCUAGUGGCUAAGAUGUCGUGCUUGGUUAUUGGAAAGAUGCUCCAUUUCUGGGUCAGUCGGAGAGGAGUUUUGGUGGUUUAUUUUAUUGUCAUUUAUGUUGUCCCGGUUAUUUUUAUGGUUGUAAUCCGGACAUUGUCUUGUUAUUCAAAACCAUUCUAUCCUUUUAGUUUGCCUAGUUUGUCUUUCUUAGUAACUCGUUUAGUGUUGCAUAGGUUCGUUCCAGGGGUGUAACCCCUUUUUAUUUUACUUCUUUUUUGUUCAAACUCUUUCACCAUCUGUCUAAUGCAGUUUUCUACUUUAUGUUAUUUCUAGUCAUUUUGUUUAGUUUUCUUUUAUUUUUUCAAUUAUUUUCCUAAUUGGCUCUAGUGACAUGACAUGCAUGCGUAAUUCUCAGCCUGGUAUUAAAAAGAUAGUUCAGUCAUGAAGCAAUGAAACAAUUUUGAAGAUGCAAGGAUAUUUGAGGAAAAUAAGUGAAGGCAUUUUGAGAUCACUUUAAGCCCAAAUUGUGUGAAACUGGGACAGAUAGAACAUAAAGAAAUAUUAUUGAAAUGCAUUAUGACACAUCGGGUUGAAGCCAAAGGAAAGUUUGCCCAAUUUGACUGCGGUCGUUCGUGGUAUGGAGAGUGAGAGUGUUGUCCGACGGGGCUUUGUAUUCCCCCAGAUAUAGAAGGCGAAUGUGUUGAUAUGGUUAUCAAGUCUGGUAUGAUCAAAAUGAUUUGAAUGUUUUCUGUGGUUUGUUUAAUUGUAUUGUUUGUACUUGGCAUGUUUUGGAGAUUUUAACGAAGGCAUUUUGUUCUGCUAUCUAAACACGUUAUCCUUCGUUAACCCUUUGAGCCUUAUUUAUUUUAUUUCAUACUCCUUGUUUGGAAUCAAUAGCAAAGAGAAAAAACACAAGCACGGAAGAUAAGUGAAAAAAGAGAAAAGGGAAAGAAUAAAAAGAGAAAGAAAAAAAAGAAAAGAGAAGGAAAACAACAAAAACAAAAAAAAAAACCAAAAAACGGAAAGACGGGAAAGGGAAAAGGAAAAUAAAAAUAAAAAAAGAGAGCAAUUAUUAUAUCACAAACUACGUUUGAUCUAAUUCUUUUCAAGGAUACAUAGGCAGCCUCAUGGUUCGGUCCUAUCAAAAUAAAAAUCCAAAAGCCCCCUCGCAAAGAAACUAGGGCAGAUGUUGUGGUUAUGUAAAAGACCUGAUUCCAAAGAUUGUAAUUUUGAACCUGUUCAAAUUGUUUUGAGCCUUCGUGAUACCCUUUCUUUAUAACCAUAUCCAAAAGCCCAUAUUACGGUCCAAUGAAAGGUCAUCCGAUCAUUCUUCGAGAGAUGCCAAGUCGAGCAAGUAGGAUGAUUCAUAUCAAGGGAAACAUUUUGGUCCAAGCAGAAAAACCAUGAUAAUAAGAGAGUCUUAUUGGUGAAAACUUUCACAAGCACCAUAAGGUAAUGGUGAGUUAAAAAAAAAAGAACAAAAUGAGAGAGACUUGAUGGUGAAAAACCUUCAGGCACCACAAGUCGAAUAAGGAUUGUGAUUAGAUUGAAUAAUUGGGGCAUUGAGGCCCAGUUUCAUGGCUUAGGGGUAUAACAAGAGCUGGAAGUCAAACUUGCUUGACAGAAUAAGUCGUAGGUACAUGUCAUGGUCAUUAGAGUUGGUAUCCACAUUUGAUAGGUUUCUAGUCUUUUGUUUUUGGUUAAGAAUCAUCUCCUUUCAUUGUCCUCUACUCUGUUCCUUUUGUAUUGAUUACUUCCACUUCCUAAGUCUGUUUGGUCAGAGCAAGUGAUAAAUGACUUCAAAAUUUGCCAUCAGCUUUCCAAUUGCACAUAAUGGGACAUGGUCAACACAUCAAAGUGUCAUAAGUCAGGAAAGAACAACAAGCACGCUGAGCAGGUAACAAUAAACAUGCUCUAAGAUUCAUGUGAAAUACAAAGGUUUGGUAUAUAUCAAUUCAUGAAAAAUGCGACAGAUAGAGGAUGUUGGGUGAACUGAUCAAAUGUAUUUUCUUUGAUGAGGUUGACAGAGAAGGUGGCUAACCAAUAAAAAGCAAGGUCUUCAGAGUAAAAAUCAAAGUUGUCAUGGCAAGUGAAGGAGCGAUAGACCUCAAGGCCAAGGCCAGUGGUUUGAGUCAGGAAAGACAUCAUACACAUCUAGUUGUUGGAUAUUGACGUGAUUUGGGAUUCAUGCAUCACAAAAGGGUUUGGUAAAUAUAAGUUCAUGAAGGGUAUUGGGUAUGAACGGAGAAAAGGUAAUUGUUGUGAUAAGGGUGAAAGAGAAAUUGGUUAGUCAAUAAACAAGCAAUGUCUUUCAAGGUUAAAUAAAAAUUAUCAUGGCAAGUGAAGGAGCAAUCGCCCUCAAAUUCAAGGCCACAAACCAACUACCAUGUUCAAACUCACAAGUUUUCUUUGUCUGAAAUAGAGAUGGAAGUUGUGUUCAUAUCAAAGCUUGGAAGCUUGAAAUUUUCAAGUGUAAUGCCCCAAUUAUGCAUACACAAAGGCAAUUGAGAAGGUCACACAUCAUCCCCAAGAGAUGCACUUCCUAGUCUGAGCAGUUCAGGUUGUAUUUUUGAUUUAGGAGAAGCACUUCCUAGUUGAGAGUUCAUUCAUAGGAGAUGCACUUUCUGGUUUAAGUCAUUGAAGUGCCACCCCUAGGAGACGCACUUCCUAGUCUGGCUUUUCCAGUUAUUUAAUUUUAGGAGACGUACUUCCUGAACUGAGAUUUCACCCCUAGGAGAUGCACUUCCUAGUUUGAGUCAUUUAAGUUCGACCCUAGGAGACACACUUCCUAGUCUGAUUCAUUGAAGUUUCACCCUUAUAAGACGCACUUCCUAAGUUUAUUUUCACUCAUAGGAGACGUACUUCCUAGUAUGAGUCAUUGAAGUUUUACCCUUAGGAGACGCACUUCCUAAGUUUAUUUUUACCUAUAGGAGACACACUUCCUAAGUUUAUUUUUACCUAUAGGAGACGCUAUCCCUAAUUUAAGAGAUUAUUCAUAGGAGACGCACUUCCUAGUUUGAAUCAUUGAAGUUUUACUUAUAGGAGAUGCACUUACUAUCUUUGGUCAUUUAAAUUCAUUCAUAGGAGACACACUUACUAGUUUGAGUAAUUGAAGUUUUACCCAUAGGAGAUGCACUUCCCAAAUUAAGAGUUUAUUCAUAGGAGACACACAUCCUAGUUCGAAUCAUUGAAGUUUUACUUAUAGGAGAUGCACUUCCUAGAUUUGGUCAUUUAAAUUCAUUCAUAGGAGACACACUUUCUAGUUUGAGCAAUUGAAGUUUUACUUAUAGGAGACGCACUUCCUAGCUUUGGUCAUUUAAAUUCUUUCAUAGGAGACACACUUUCUAGUUUGAGUAAUUGAAUUUUUACCCAUAGGAGACACACUUCCUAAAUUAAGAGUUUAUUCAUAGGAGUCACACUCCCUAGUCUGAAUAAUUAAAGUUUUACUUAUAGGAGACACACUUCCUAGCUUUGGUCAUUUAAAUACAUUCUUAGGAGGCGCACUUCCUAGUCUUAGUCAUUUAAAUUCACCCCUAGGAGACGCACUUCCUAGCUUGGUUCAUUCAUGUUUUAUUUUAGCAGACACACUUGCUAGUCAAAGUUUUGGUUUUACCCCUAGGAGACGCACUUCCUAGUCUUAGUCAUUUAAGUUCACCCUUCGGAGAAGCACUUCCUAGACUUAAGUCAUUUAAAUUCACCCAUAGGAGACGUACUUCCUAGUUUGGUUCAUUCAUGCUUUACUUUAGCAAACACACUUCCUAGUCAAAGUUUUGGUUUUGCCCAUAGGAGACACACUUCCUAGUCUUAGUCAUUUGAAUUCAUCACUAGGAGACGCACUUCAUAGACUUGGUCAUUUAAAUUCACCCAUAGGAGACGUACUUCCUAGUUCGGUUCAUUCAUGUUUUACUUUAGCAAACACACUUCCUAGUCAAAGUUUUGGUUUUACCCAUAGGAGACGCACUUCCUAGUCUUAGUCAUUUAAAUUCAUCACUAGGAGACGCACUUCCUAGACUUGGUCAUUUAAAUUCACCCCUAGGAGACACACUUCUUAGUUUGGUUCAUUCAUGUUUUAUUUUAGCAGACGCAUUUUCUUGUCAAAGUCUUUGUUUUACUAAUAGGAGACGCACUUCCUAGGUUUAGUCACUAAAGUUUUCACCCCUAGGAGACACACUUCCUAGUCUUGGUCAUUUAAUUUCAUCCAUAUGAGACACAUUCCUACCCUUGACUCUCCUGAAUAAUAGGAUGUAACUUUAACUAGCAAACCCCAGCAGAGACAACCGAGAGUUAGAAUUGGCAUUUAAUUUGAAUCCUCAGGACCCUCCUGGAAAAUGGGACCUAGUUAAAACUCAACAAGGAACAUAAUCUGACAUAAAAAUUCUCCCCAGCAAGAGUAUAAUGGAACAAAACUUUAAUUAGCAACCCCCAGCAGAGACAACCAAGAGUUAAAAGGGGCAUGCAAGUUGAAAUUUUCAAAACCCUCCUAGAAAUGGGACUCAAGUUAAAACUCAAACAGGCACGGGUACCAUGGGCAGGUACAAACACCUUCCUCAGUAUGAGUUGUCGGAACUCGCCUGAAUAAUGAUCCCCAUCAGAAACAACAAGAAAUUAGAAUUGGCAUUUAAUUUAGAACCCUCAAGACACUCCUACAAAAUGGAACUUAUCUAAAGGUUAAAGGUAAUCACGGAUAGUGGAGGGCAUAAAAUGACUUGCAUGUUGAAAUAGGAUUCAGUUAAGAGUUGUCAGAACCCUCCUAGAAAAUGGGACUCAGGAUAAAACUUAUACAGUCUUGGGUAACAUGGUCAAACCUAAAUAUUCCCCCAACAAGAGUCAUAAGGACCCUCAUGGAUAAUGGGAUCUCAUUGUAGGAGUUGUCAGGACCCCCUGGAUAAUGGGACAUGGCUCUAAAUACUAACCCCCAACAUACACAUUUUUUCAUCCAGUUAAGAGUUGUCAGGACCCGCAUGUAUGAUGGGAAGUAGCUUUAAUAACUGGUCCCCAGUAGAUCCCCAACAGAUAUCUCAGAUAAAAAGACUUAGUGGAAAAUAAUACCUUUUGAGAAACAUAACCUUACCUUUAAAGCUAUCAUUAGUUAAGAGUUAUCAAAGCCCUCCUGGAUAAUGGGAUUUAGCUUUCAAAUUUUAGAGAUAUUUGGUAACAAGAUUUGAUAAACACUCAAAGAUUCACCCAGCACCAAACUGGGGCGACACAAAUUUCUUUUGUUUUGUUUAAUUCGUUGUGAUCAGGUACAAAGGCUGCAGUCUCAGGGAAUACAUUUCUAGUUUCAAGUCUUGGUAAUCUAGCACCCACCCGAAGAACAAGGGAAUACAUUUCAAAUUUCAAGUUUUGGUAAUCAGGCGCUUACCUGGAGAACAAGGGAAUACAUUUCAAGUUUCAAGUUUUGGGUAAUCAGGUGCUACCUAGAGAACAAGGGAAUACAUUCCAAGGUUCAAACGUUGUCAAUCAGGCGUCACCUGGAGAAUAAGGGAAUUCACUUUAGAAUACGACUCAAGUCAGCAACAAAAGAAGCUCGUGGCAAGAAUGCAAGUCAACAGUUUGAGGUGAAAGAAAAAUAAAAAAAACAAAGCAAGAAAUUAAUCCAAAUGAAAAGCAGAUGAAAGAUGUGAACUUUUCAAGGCAUGGUUUAGGUCGCAAGCGCUACAUGUUCCGUCUUAAUUCGAAAAGCUGAAGAAGAAAGAGCUAGUACUUGCAGCUAAUAAGCGUCAAGGUUGAAAUUAAAGUCUGAAUGAAGAACCACUCAAAACUAAAGAUCAAGCUUCAGAAGACUUAUAGAUAGGAAUCUUGUAACUCAUAGUUGACAGGCUUAGCUAGUCUUUUUCAUUCUUUUGAUUUGGAUGUAAUAACAGGAUCCUUGACCGGAACCUCGACGAAAUGGCACCUGACCGGUUCUUCACCUCGGCAUACUUCUUCAUCUCACUCACUUCUGAUCUAUACUAACCUGAUUCCUUUAUAGCCAAGGAUAUGUAGGCAACCUUGGAAGCAAGGUUCGCUCAAAUAUUUCAAAAAUUCUUCCCAUGGGGUAUCCAAAUGAGCAAAAAUCGCUCGUAUCCGCUCGCUUUAUCUUUGCACGAAAACCCUUCGCGUUUUCGAGCAAAUAGGGGCAGCUGUGAGCACGUGAUAUUUGCCCUACAGGAGAAUAACUCCUAAAAAUAGACCAAAAUAAUUUUAAUUAGGGUUUAGGUAUUUUUCUUUAUUUAGUUGGAUUUCAUGCAUUUUUAAUAUAUUUAAAAUCACAGAAAAAAUCAUAAAAAGUGUUACAUUUUAAUUUCAUGCCACCUUAGGUUCAAUUUGCAUUUUGAAAUUAAUUACGUUGAGUUAAUUGGGUUAUUAAUAAAAAAAUCACAAAAACUGGUUAAUUUUGCACUUUUAAUUUUAAUCUUUGAAUUUUGGUAGUUUUCCAUUUAAUUUGGUUUUAAUUAGUUGCAGUAAGUAUUAGUUGUAGUUAUUAGUUUAAUUUGAAAAUAAUUUUACUAAGAAUUCAUUUAGGUGUUACUUUUAGUUUUAUUCUAAAAGAAAUUAGAAAAAAAUAUGAAAGCAAAAGAAGUGAAUCAGAUUUUUGGGCUGAUCUUUACUUCUAUUUUUAAGACCAAUGCAAUUUUUCUUUAAAACCCAACAAAAAACAAGCCCAGACCCGCAUGACCCAACCCGAUCCAUUUUACCCCUCCCACACUUAAAACCCUAAUCCCCUUCCCCAUUCAAAAUGGGACAAAAUCGGAUCCUAGACUUCAAGAGAAGAAAAGCGGGUAAAGCUUGAAGAGGACCCCUGUUCCUGGCUUCAUCUUUUCAUAAUUACGCCCCCACCCGAUUUCUCAUCUUCUCCACACACAUAGAGAGUCACACGUUAGAGAUUCACCUUCAUAGACUUUAGGUCUAGCAUGUCAUUCACUCACUAUCGAAGAGAACCAAAGUGAAUUCGAAUUGUAUUUUGGAUUUGGAAAUAUAACCCUUCAAAGACUGAAAACAAGGAUAGAAACAAAUGGGAAUUUUGGGAUUUCUUGAGGAUUUUGUUGAUUCAUAUGGUUUUCCAGUAAAGAUCAGUCCGUCGAUGCCGACUCGAGUUCAUUGUUGAGUUUUGGUCGCGGUUCCUGCUGAAUCUCAAUUUUGUUUUCAUUUCAAGUGUGUCGCCAAGUCUUCUUCUGCUUGUAAUCAUUUCAACCAAUUUAAUCGAAAGAAUUUUCAGACAUUCUGAUGGUAAAUUUAUUAUCAAGGUCACUGAUGAAUACGAGUCAAAGUUUUGUUCGAGAUGUGGUUUGUUGUUCUGAUUCUGGUUUGUGAUUCCAAGCUGAAAUGUCUCUGAGAAUUAUGGGCAGGAAUCAUCGAGUUGUUUAACCUUCUUGUGAUUAAAAUUGGUGAAUAUAAGCCAAGGACCAUUCGAGAAGACGAGUCAAUUUCCGGCUAUAAUUAUUGCUUCAUUUCAGUUCGUAUAAAUUGCAGGUUCAUUUCUAUUUCAUUGGUUUCUCCCUUUCAAUUUUAUGGAGUUUAUAUGAAUUUUUAGUGCUGGUUUGUCAUUGCACCUUAGUCGCUGUUAGAUUUUGCGAAUGAGACUCUUACUUCUAGUGUGUUGAGUUAAUAUGAUUUUUUUAUGUUGGUUUGUCAUAGCACCUUAGUCGCUGUUAGAUUCUGCAGAUGAGACUCUCACUUCGAGUAAUUUUUUCGUUGUGUAUUUGCACUGAUCCGUGGCCUAGGAUUGCAAGUAUAUGCUAAUGCCAUCGCGUCGAAGAGUCUUUGAAUAGUUUUUAGAUGCUUGUUUCGAUGACUAAUUUAAUCUUUGGAUAUGAGAUUGCUUUUCUAAUUAUGAGUUACAUAGUAUUAGUUUGUUUUGCUGGCUGCUGGGUUUUAGCUUUAUUUUUGUUUGUUGUUACUUCUUCAAAUCUGUAAAUAUUUCUCUGUUGAACCUGCUCUACUGAGUUUUGAUUAUCUUUUCAGCAUUUAAUUGGCUUUCCUAAACAGUUUUGUCAUUGAUCGAGGUACAUUGUUUGGAAACCAUAGCGUUAGGAAAAUGGUUUGUUCAUUUGUGUUCGUCUAAUGAUCCAGUUUGGUUGGAUCGAUUGGCAAUGAAACCAUGUCUUGGUAGCUACUGUUCAACAAAAUUUUUGAAUCUGUUACUAGAUUUGGGAGUCUUUACUCAUUUUCCUUAAUUCCCAUUUCUUGAAGCAAAUAUGCUCUUAAAUUGAGGAUUCAUGGCCACUAUAAUGACUGUUUAAGUUGUCUGUUAUGUGGAAAUGAGAUUCAUGGUUGCUACAAUGACUGUUUAUGUUGUCUAUUCUGUUGAAAAUAAGAGUCAUGGCUGUUUUUUGCAAUUUCUACAAGUAUGACCUUUUCUUCA
rnacentral:lncRNA from 1 species